rnacentral:rRNA from 1 species
CCUACGGGUGGCAGCAGUGAGGAAUAUUGGUAAAUGGACGGAAGUCUGAACCAGCCAUGCCGCGUGCAGGAAGACGGCUCUAUGAGUUGUAAACUUCUUUGACAGGGGAAGAGCAGAAGACGGUACCCUGAAAACAAGCCACGGCUAACUACGUGCCAGCAGCCGCGGUAAUACGUAGGUGGCAAGCGUUGUCCGGAUUUACUGGGUGUAAAGGGCGUGUAGCCGGGAAGGCAAGUCAGAUGUGAAAUCUGGAGGCUCAACCUCCAAAUUGCAUUUGAAACUGUUUUUCUUGAGUACUGGAGAGGCAGACGGAAUUCCUUGUGUAGCGGGGAAAUGCGUAGAUAUAAGGAGGAACACCAGUGGCGAAGGCGGUCUGCUGGACAGCAACUGACGGUGAGGCGCGAAAGCGUGGGGAGCAAACAGGAUUAGAUACCCCAGUAGUC